ACGGAGGGUCCGAGCGUUAUCCGGAAUUAUUGGGUUUAAAGGGUCCGUAGGCGGGCCAUUAAGUCAGGGGUGAAAGUCUGCGGCUCAACCGUAGAAUUGCCUUUGAUACUGGUGGUCUUGAGUUAUGGUGAAGUGGCUGGAAUAUGUAGUGUAGCGGUGAAAUGCAUAGAUAUUACAUAGAACACCGAUUGCGAAGGCAGGUCACUAACCAUAUACUGACGCUGAUGGACGAAAGCGUGGGGAGCGAACAGG
rnacentral:rRNA from 1 species